ACAAAGCCAUAGAACAGGAAGAGUAGUCCUGAUGGAAGCCAUCCAAGGGAGCCGGCGCAAGUGGAAGUCCGGUAUGGCAGUCUGGAUGAAUGGGCCUGGGAGGCGCUGUUUCGAACCAUAGGUGUAGAGACAGACGGAUUUCACCGUUACAGGAAACUGAGUUGGGCAUUUGCCAAGUUGGGUGGUACCGCGGAAAUAGAUCCUUUCGUCCCUUUG
rnacentral:ncRNA from 1 species